CCUACGGGUGGGCUGCAGUGGGGAAUAUUGGACAAUGGGGGGAACCCUGAUCCAGCCAUGCCGCGUGUGUGAAGAAGGCCCUCGGGUUGUAAAGCACUUUCAGUGAGGAAGAACGCCUGGUGGUUAAUACCCAUCAGGAAAGACAUCACUCACAGAAGAAGCACCGGCUAACUCCGUGCCAGCAGCCGCGGUAAUACGGAGGGUGCGAGCGUUAAUCGGAAUUACUGGGCGUAAAGCGCGCGUAGGUGGCUUGAUAAGCCGGUUGUGAAAGCCCCGGGCUCAACCUGGGAACGGCAUCCGGAACUGUCAAGCUAGAGUGCAGGAGAGGAAGGUAGAAUUCCCGGUGUAGCGGUGAAAUGCGUAGAGAUCGGGAGGAAUACCAGUGGCGAAGGCGGCCUUCUGGACUGACACUGACACUGAGGUGCGAAAGCGUGGGUAGCAAACAGGAUUAGAUACCCUUGUAGUC
rnacentral:rRNA from 1 species